GACGAACGCUGGCGGCGUGCUUAACACAUGCAAGUCGAACGGAAAGGCCCCCUUUUGGGGUACUCGAGUGGCGAACGGGUGGGUAACACGUGAGUAACCUACCCUUGACUUUGGGAUAACUUCAGGAAACUGGGGCUAAUACCGGAUAGGAGCUCCUGCUGCAUGGGGGGGGUUGGAAAGUUUCGGCGGUUGGGGUUGGACUCGCGGCUUAUCAGCUUGUUGGUGGGGUAGUGGCUCACCAAGGCUUUGACGGGUAGCCGGCCUGGGAGGGUGACCGGCCACAUUGGGACUGAGAUACGGCCCAGACUCCUACGGGAGGCAGCAGUGGGGAAUAUUGCACAAUGGGCGGAAGCCUGAUGCAGCAACGCCGCGUGCGGGAUGACGGCCUUCGGGUUGUAAACCGCUUUCGCCUGUGACGAAGCGUGAGUGACGGUAAUGGGUAAAGAAGCACCGGCUAACUACGUG
rnacentral:rRNA from 1 species